GACGAACGCUGGCGGCGUGCCUAAUACAUGCAAGUUGAGCGCUGAAGGUUGGUACUUGUACCAACUGGAUGAGCAGCGAACGGGUGAGUAACGCGUGGGGAAUCUGCCUUUGAGCGGGGGACAACAUUUGGAAACGAAUGCUAAUACCGCAUAAAAACUUUAAACACAAGUUUUAAAUUUGAAAGAUGCAAUUGCAUCACUCAAAGAUGAUCCCGCGUUGUAUUAGCUAGUUGGUGAGGUAAAGGCUCACCAAGGCGAUGAUACAUAGCCGACCUGAGAGGGUGAUCGGCCACAUUGGGACUGAGACACGGCCCAAACUCCUACGGGAGGCAGCAGUAGGGAAUCUUCGGCAAUGGACGAAAGUCUGACCGAGCAACGCCGCGUGAGUGAAGAAGGUUUUCGGAUCGUAAAACUCUGUUGGUAGAGAAGAACGUUGGUGAGAGUGGAAAGCUCAUCAAGUGACGGUAACUACCCAGAAAGGGACGGCUAACUACGUG
rnacentral:rRNA from 1 species